GAUGAACGCUAGCGGCAGGCUUAACACAUGCAAGUCGAGGGGUAUUGGUUUUCGGACCAAGAGACCGGCGCACGGGUGCGUAACGCGUAUGCAAUCUACCUUUUGCAGGGGAUAGCCCAGAGAAAUUUGGAUUAAUACCUCAUAGUAUAGUACUUUGGCAUCAAGGAACUAUUAAAGUCACAACGGCAAAAGAUGAGCAUGCGUCCCAUUAGCUAGUUGGUAAGGUAACGGCUUACCGAGGCUACGAUGGGUAGGGGUUCUGAGAGGGAGAUCCCCCANACUGGUACUGAGACACGGAUCAGACUCCUACGGGAGGCAGCAGUGAGGAAUAUUGGACAAUGGGCGCAAGCCUGAUCCAGCCAUGCCGCGUGCAGGAAGAAGCAUCUAUGGUGUGUAAACUGCUUUUGUACGGGAAGAAACACUCCUACGUGUAGGAGCUUGACGGUACCGUAAGAAUAAGGAUCGGCUAACUCCGUGCCAGCAGCCG
rnacentral:rRNA from 1 species